rnacentral:rRNA from 1 species
AAUAGCCUAACGGCUGAACCAGCAACUUGGAAGAAUGUAUAGCGAUUGCUAACUGCUUCAUACCACAAAAAAGAUGAAGCAGUCUCGAUUUAAUCGAAUAAAGUUCUGGGUAAAAUUAUGAUAAUGACAUUGUUUACCUGUGAGUCUUGACCAAAUUACGUGCCAGCAGUCGCGGUAAUACGUAGAAGACUAGUGUUAUUCAUCUUUAAUAGGUUUAAAGGGUACCUAGACGGCAUAUUAAGCCUUAAUUGGAACUGACAUGCUAGAGUUACUUAUGAGGAAGUUUUAAUGUACUAGAGGUGUAGAGAUGAAAUUCAGUCAUACCUUUUUUCUAACGAAAAAUUUCGGCACAGGUGUAGGUGAAAACAUCUUCUUAUGGGAUAACUGACGUUGAGGGACGAAGGCUUUUUAUCGCGAACAGGAUUAGAUACCCUGGUAGUCAAAGCAGAAAAUGAUGAGUGUCAUAGAUUAGAUAAAAAAAUUUAUUCUAUAAAUGAAAGUGUAAGCACUCCACCUCAAGAGUAAUUUGGCAACAUUGGAACUGAAAUCAUUAGACCGUAUCUGAAACCAGUAGUGAAGUAUGUUAUUUAAUUUGAUAAUCCGCAAAAAACCUUACCACAACUUGAAUAUUUAUUUAUUUACUUUAUCACAAGUUUUGUGUGCAGCCCAGGCUAUAAUAUAGGCUGUUAUUUAAACAAUUAAGCAAUUAUGUGAUA